CACGUAGUUAGCCGGGGCUUCUUAGUCAGGUACCGUCUUUUUUCUUCCCUGCUGAUAGAGCUUUACAUACCGAAAUACUUCUUCACUCACGCGGCGUCGCUGCAUCAGGGUUUCCCCCAUUGUGCAAUAUCCCCCACUGCUGCCUCCCGUAGGAGUUUGGGCCGUGUCUCAGUCCCAAUGUGGCCGGUCACCCUCUCAGGUCGGCUACUGAUCGUUGCCUUGGUGGGCCGUUACCCCUCCAACUAGCUAAUCAGACGCGGGUCCAUCUCAUACCGUCUCGGCUUUUCACCCCGAACCAUGCGGUUCUGUGUGCUUAUGCGGUAUUAGCAGUCAUUUCUAACUGUUAUCCCCCUGUAUGAGGCAGGUUACCCACGCGUUACUCACCCGUCCGCCGCUCAGUCAAUUAACAUUCCAUCCGAAAACUUCCUCUUAAUUGCUUCGCUCGACUUGCAUGUGUUAGGCACGCCGCCAGCGUUCAUCCUGAGCCAGGAUCAAACUCU
rnacentral:rRNA from 1 species